rnacentral:rRNA from 1 species
UACAGAGGGUGCGAGCGUUGUCCGGAAUCACUGGGCGUAAAGGGCGCGUAGGUGGCGCCGCAAGUCCAUGGUGAAAGCUCGAUGCUCAACAUCGAGUCGGCCACGGAGACUGCGGGGCUCGAGCACUGUAGGGGCAGAUGGAAUUCCGGGUGUAGCGGUGGAAUGCGUAGAGAUCCGGAAGAACACCGGUGGCGAAGGCGGUCUGCUGGGCAGUUGCUGACACUGAGGCGCGAAAGCUAGGGGAGCAAACGGG